UAGCGACAUAGUGAUAGCGAUAAAUACUUAACUACUCAAAACUGAGCUUAUUAAACGCCUAUCUGCCUCAAAAGAGAAGCGUAAAACAACUUUUAAUGCACGAGGAGCUAGGUGACCGAAAGCCAUCACAGUUCCUACGUUAUCUCGAAGGACUGGCAGGACCAUCAGUACCAAAAGAUUUUUUAGCCACUUUAUGGUCUAGUCGAUUACCUGAGACAAUUCAAACAGUAAUUGCUUCGCAGAUAGAUCUACCUUUAGAUAAUCUGACAGAAUUGGCC
rnacentral:misc_RNA from 1 species